GAGAUCUUCUCUGUCUUUUAUUUUUUUUAGGAAAGAUCUUCUCUUAGUCUUAGCUAGACUAGGUUGUAGUACGUGUCUAAGAACUUCUCGAGGAUCCUUGGAAGUUCAAAGGUUCCAUCCUCCGCUGUCUUUCCUUGAACCGUUGUGGAAGAAAAAGAGAAGCAAUGCAAGCAUCUGAAUAAAAGGGGCAGCAAUCUAUACGUUUGAUGGACAGGAAAAGAUGUUCGCAAUUGAGUGGUACAGUGCACCUUUUUUUUUACCUUUUUUAUGCCGCCGCCUUUUCUUUUCUUGUGGAUCAAAAGGAGGACACGCAAAACAGGAGAUUGAGAAGAAAAACUACAGUAGAUCAUAUAGAAGUGUGGAUAUGUAGGUUUUGAGUAUCACAUUCCUAUGGACUACUUGGAAGGGACAAGGUACACCGAGGCCUGAUUUCCAUUUGAUGGCUCAAGCCACUACGAGCUCCUACCUGAUCCAGAAAGAUGGCCGGAAUGCCGGCCGGAAUCGGCAGCUCGCCGCGUCACAAACACACGACAUGGACACAAAGCAGAUCAAGAACCCUAGCUUGGACAGAAACAAGAUCAAGAAAUAUGGCAUUGCUUCACAUCGGGGGCGCCAGAUCCGACCGCGGGCAGGGUCGGGGGCGCCGGUGCAAGGCCUCCAAGCACUGCUGCUCCAUGGUCCUCCGCGGCCGCUGCUGCAGGAGCUCGAGGGAGGAGGACGCGCGCGGGAGGACAAGAGAGGCCAGAUCCGGUGGCCUCCGUGCCGGAUCCGCGACGGGGUCGUGGCCGGUGGAUCCGACGGUGCCGCUGCAGGUCCUCCAAGCGCCGGGCGCCGCUGCUGUUGCUGGAGGAAGGUAGAAGGGGCGGGGCAGUGAGAGACGAAACGGGGGAGAGGGAACGGGGCAGAGGGAGAGGAAGGAGGAACCUGGAUCUCGGGCAGAGGGAGGAGGUCGGUCAGUGGGAAAGACGAGAGGAGAGCAGAGAACGAGAUGGAUGGGAGAGAGGAGAUCGUGGGGUGAAUAAGAGAGGAGAGAGAGAGAGCAGGAUGUGUACACGUCAUUGAUCCAUGCGUUGUGCUCUUCCACCAAUAGCGCGCGUGCAUUCCGUUUUUUUGUUUCUUUGGGCUACGCAGCAUCAGUAGUGGCUUUUUUUUCCAAAGCCAACACUGAUGAGUCUGGUACUUUAUUUAUUAGCUAACACAUCAUAUUAUUGUUCCA